GAUGAACGCUGGCGGCGCGCCUAACACAUGCAAGUCGAACGGCACCCCUCUCCGGAGGGAAGCGAGUGGCGAACGGCUGAGUAACACGUGGAGAACCUGCCCCCUCCCCGGGAUAGCCGCCCGAAAGGACGGGUAAUACCGGAUACCCCCGGGCGUCGCAUGGCGCCCGGGCUAAAGCCCCGACGGGAGGGGAUGGCUCCGCGGCCCAUCAGGUAGACGGCGGGGUGACGGCCCACCGUGCCGA
rnacentral:rRNA from 1 species